rnacentral:rRNA from 1 species
UACGUAGGUGGCAAGCGUUGUCCGGAUUUACUGGGCGUAAAGGAUGCGUAGGCGGAUAUUUAAGUCAGAUGUGAAAUACCCGGGCUCAACUUGGGUGCUGCAUUUGAAACUGGAUAUCUAGAGUGCGGGAGAGGAAAGUGGAAUUCCUAGUGUAGCGGUGAAAUGCGUAGAGAUUAGGAAGAACACCAGUGGCGAAGGCGACUUUCUGGACCGUAACUGACGCUGAGGCAUGAAAGCGUGGGGAGCAAACAGG